AGCCCAGCUUGCUGGGUGGAUUAGUGGCGAACGGGUGAGUAACACGUGAGUAACCUGCCCUUAACUCUGGGAUAAGCCUGGGAAACUGGGUCUAAUACCGGAUAGGAGCGUCCACCGCAUGGUGGGUGUUGGAAAGAUUUAUCGGUUUUGGAUGGACUCGCGGCCUAUCAGCUUGUUGGUGAGGUAAUGGCUCACCAAGGCGACGACGGGUAGCCGGCCUGAGAGGGUGACCGGCCACACUGGGACUGAGACACGGCCCAGACUCCUACGGGAGGCAGCAGUGGGGAAUAUUGCACAAUGGGCGCAAGCCUGAUGCAGCGACGCCGCGUGAGGGAUGACGGCCUUCGGGUUGUAAACCUCUUUCAGUAGGGAAGAAGCGAAAGUGACGGUACCUGCAGAAGAAGCACCGGCUAACUACGUG
rnacentral:rRNA from 1 species